GACGAACGCUGGCGGCGUGCUUAACACAUGCAAGUCGAACGGAAAGGCCCUGCUUUUGUGGGGUGCUCGAGUGGCGAACGGGUGAGUAACACGUGAGUAACCUGCCCUUGACUUUGGGAUAACUUCAGGAAACUGGGGCUAAUACCGGAUAGGAGCUCCUGCUGCAUGGUGGGGGUUGGAAAGUUUCGGCGGUUGGGGAUGGACUCGCGGCUUAUCAGCUUGUUGGUGGGGUAGUGGCUUACCAAGGCUUUGACGGGUAGCCGGCCUGAGAGGGUGACCGGCCACAUUGGGACUGAGAUACGGCCCAGACUCCGACGGGAGGCAGCAGUGGGGAAUAUUGCACAAUGGGCGGAAGCCUGACGCAGCAACGCCGCGUGCGGGAUGACGGCCUUCGUGUUGUAAACCGCUUGCGCCUGUGACGAAGCGUGAGUGACGGUAAUGGGUAAAGAAGCACCGGCUAACUACGUG
rnacentral:rRNA from 1 species